rnacentral:rRNA from 1 species
GAUGAACGCUAGCUACAGGCUUAACACAUGCAAGUCGAGGGACCGGCGCACGGGUGAGUAACACGUAUCCAACCUGCCCUUUACUCGGAGAUAGCCUUUCGAAAGAAAGAUUAAUACCCGUUAUAAUGGAUGGGGAUGCGUUCCAUUAGGUUGUUGGUGAGGUAACGGCUCACCAAGCCUUCGAUGGAAAGGGGUACUGAGAGGAAGCACCCUCACAUUGGAACUGGGACACGAUCCAAACGCCUACGGGAGGCAGGAGUUAGGAAGAAUGGUGAAUGGGCGCUAGCCUGAACCAGCCAAGUAGCGUGGAGGAUGAAGGCUUAUAGGUCGUAAACAUCUGGUAUAUAAGAAUAUGUAUUAUAUGAAUAAGGAUCGGCUAACUCCGUGCCAGCAGCCGCGGUAAUAC